GCACAUUUUUAGCUCCCUCCCUGACCUCGUCUCAAGGCUGAAGAACAGGGAACCCCAACAGCUCAGGAGCAGGGAGCACAGGUUCACCCUACUCUGUACAAGGGUUCUUCCUGGUACCCUACAUCUGGACAUGACAGCUACAAAGCUCUCCCAGGUCGACACUCCUUGAACCACAGACUUGUCAUGUGGCUGAAUAUUCUUUAUCCUUUUUUUUUUUUUUUAAAGCACUGAAAAAUAAAAAUGUGUAUCUUGGACUUACAAGAUGAAAAUCAUUCUGGAGAUGGCGCCACACUGCCCAAGAGUGGUUCAGAUGGUCAAUCCGAUGUCAUGCUUAUUUUACCACAAUUUAAACAAAAAGCCCAACCUCUCCUACCUCACUGGCCGGACUGGCCUGUGGGCUGUGCCCUGCCCCCUGAGUUAAUCUCACCUAAGGAUAUCCACUGUGAAGCGAGGAGAAGGAGAGAAGGGAAAGCAGGAGAGACAGUCAGUUUGCUAAAACUGAGUGGAUAUGGAUUUGCCAUCCCAUGGCAGACUGACAGCAACCAGCCCCACCACAGGCCUCGGUCCACCCCAGAGCUCCAGCACCCUGGGACUGAGGAUGACUCUCAAAGUCCAGUGGUGGUAAUGAGGGCAUUUCCAGGAUUCCAGCUGUCUCUGCAGACCUUGCCUGAGGGCCUUGAAACUGUGAGGUGUAUCCUUUAACCCAUGAGAACACUCUGGGUUAUAAACCAGAGGGGCCAAGGCUGAGAAAUAGGCAGGGACUCCACCUCCAAGGCCAAACUAGAGGAUACAGAAAAGUCGAUUCAGUUUUGGUCUAAAAGGUUUUGCAGCAGGUGAUUGGCGGACCUUGGAGACCUCUCCUAUGAUUACCAAGGGUGCGUACAAACCCACGAGGACCACCCUCACCCACACUAAUCUGCAGAGGGUCACGCCACGUGCAGGCCAAGAAGUGUCAACACAGCAACUGACUGAAGGCCACUGCCAUCAGCUGCCCACACCACCAUGAAACCACAGCCACAUGGCCACAAAGCCCAAGCUACACCAGAAACAGGCUCUGCUCAAACCCUGCCAUUCACCCAGGUGAGCGCUUCCCUCGCUGUGACAUUCAUAUGCUUAACGCCUAGAUGACGUAACUACCCUUCUCCAGGCACAGCCCAAUUCCUCUUCCUGGUUUUCCAAUGUUUCACUAAGACUAAAACAACACCUCUUUAAUCCGAAAAUUUCACAAACUGCUUUGAAAUCUGAUUUUAAACAACUUUCCAAAGCCUCGGCCAUUGCCAAGAGGAACUCCUCGGCGCCGGGACCCCACCCCUUCACCAGCAGGCAGGCGCGUGAACUCCAUGUUAAUGUUCAAACCUCAGUAACGGGAGCUGACAUUCAUUUACCGUGCACAGUAGACUGGCCCUGGAACUUUACCUCUGGUUUUGCCUUCAAAGGGCAAAGUCCAGCCUGGGAAUCCUACUUUCAGAGCACAGAGGCUCACAGAGCAAAUUGCCUGAGACCACAAAGCAGGACGAUCUACAUCACCCUUGGGAAGCCAGGUCCUACCCCACACUGAGAAGGUUUCAUGGGAUCCAGAGGGAGGCAAGGCAUGAAGGAAAGACGUGCAUUAUAGCUACUGGAUCACAUCGCCAGAUGGUCCCUGAACUGCCAGCAGGAGAUGAGGAAUUAUUAGCUCCAUUUGACAGAUAAAGAAACUAGGGCAGGGGAGGUGUCACAGGCUCUGCUCUGUGGGGGUUCUGCUCAUUUGGUUUGAGUGGGAAAUCUCACUUUUGAGUAGACACUCAUGCUUGAACACUUGGUUUCCCAGGUGACACUGUCCGGACAGGUUGUGGAAGCUCUUGGAGAUGGAGAAUGUGAGGUAGGGACCUAAAAGUCCGACAGCCAGGCCCACUUCCUUUUCACUCCCUACUUCCUGAGAGAAGAUGCCACAUGACAAACCGCUCCCAUGAUGGACCUCAUGGAGUCAGUAAUAAACUCUCCCUUGAGUAUCUUGUUUCCUGUUGGGGGCCUGGUCACCACAGCAAGAAACGCAACUGAUACACACAGAGCACUGCCAAGUGCUUGGGCCUCAAUAAAUAGCAACUUAACAGCCAAGGGAAGAGAUUCGCCCCAGGCCACAAGCAUAUUAGUCACUAAAUCAAAGUUAGAAUCGAGAUGUCCCCAUGCGUGUCACAAGUCCCGAGUUCCAAACAAGAGAAGUGAAUAAAAAGUUAGAAAAGCACCCUGAAGUGAACAGCAGAAGAGGGGCUCAGAGACAUCACGGUCAGCAGGGUCAAUACUCAGGAAGCUGAGUGGCGCGGCAGAUGGGGUCAGGAAGUAAAGUUUACUCAGUUCUCGACGCCAUGCCAAAUCUCUGGAUAGCCUACGCAGCCCUUCAGAAGCCAAAGUCCUCCAAAGAACUAUGGGACACAGUUACGUAUCUGUUCACGAGUGACUGCUUCUUCUCCACGUUACUCAUUACUAUGAGGAUUUGAAACGAUGAGCUUAGACUUUCUUUUGAAACACAAAGUACAGGUAUGCACACCUCCACAGGAGUCGCCAGCCCAACUGAUGCAGUUUCACAUUUGUUUCUCUUUGUAAAAUUAAAAAUUAUGGACAAAAUUUCUCCAUCCCCUCGUGCUGUAACCAAUUAUCAUGCAUUUUGUGGAUUUUUCAGUCUCCCACCCCCACCCCAGGCCCCCAUGAAUCUGCAACUUUCCUGCCUCCACCUCCAGAGAGCUAGGAUCCUCAGCAUGUGCCAUGUCCCCCAACUUGAAUGUAUGUGUUCUGUAUCCUUAAAAAUAGAAAGAGACUCAUGUAUGAUCUCUGAACUUGACAUGCUGAGGUCAUCUUUUGUUGCCGUCAGAAACCCAAGAUCAUUCCCCUUUGGCUUCUACAAACCAUCUUCUGUUCACCAAACCUGUUUAUAACUGCUUGUAACUUUCCUCUAGAAAAGCCAGCAACUGACAGCUGUCAUUUUGCAUUGUAAUUGAAAAACACUGUCUCCGUUGAAACUAUGUUGCAAAAGUAGCUUCAGA